rnacentral:rRNA from 1 species
UACGAAGGGGGCUAGCGUUGUUCGGAAUUACUGGGCGUAAAGCGUGCGCAGGCGGUUCUAUAAGACAGAUGUGAAAUCCCCGGGCUCAACCUGGGAACUGCAUUUGUGACUGUAGAGCUGGAGUACGGCAGAGGGGGAUGGAAUUCCGCGUGUAGCAGUGAAAUGCGUAGAUAUGCGGAGGAACACCGAUGGCGAAGGCAAUCCCCUGGGCCUGUACUGACGCUCAUGCACGAAAGCGUGGGGAGCAAACAGG